rnacentral:rRNA from 1 species
GUCCACGCCGUAACGAUGGGUGCUAGGUGUGGGCGGUGUCGACUCCGUCCGUGCCGAAGCUAACGCAUUAAGCACCCCGCCUGGGGAGUACGGCCGCAAGGCUAAACUCAAAGGAAUUGACGGGGCCCGCACAAGCAGCGGAGCAUGUUGUUUAAUUCGACGCGACGCGAAGAACCUUACCAAGGCUUGACAUGCACGGGAAUGUCGUAGAAAUACGGCAGCCCUUCGGGGCUCGUGCACAGGUGGUGCAUGGCUGUCGU